rnacentral:lncRNA from 1 species
AUAGAGUCUGGGAUGCUGAAUACUCACGCGCCGUCCACCAGCAGCUCAAGGUGAAACUGGGGGUGAGGUGGAGCCUGGGGAGGGGCUCGGGGCACCUGCCUUCCAGAGGGGCGGGGGGCGGGAGGGCGCUCUCCAUCACCGGGGAUGCCUAACCUGGAUUUCAGACCUGCACUGCGAGCGAGCCGGAGCGAUGGCUGUGUCUCUAUAAAAGAUUGCAAUUUGCCGACCGGAGGCAUGCAAUCCCCCAACUGUCUUAAAGGGACCCAUUUUCAGAGUUUAGCCUUUCUUUUUGUGGGUGCAAUCAGUUGUGCACUGAAAAACUGCAGCCACAGUUGGAUAACUGCAGGCACAACAGGCCACAAGGGGCCUCUUUGCUCCAAAUUUUGUACCUGCAACUAAUUGCACUUACAGAAAAUGGGAGUGUGGUAGGAGCUUUUUUAAAAAUUGGGGCCAGUAAAUUCUCCAUGGAGGGAAGAGGCAAGGAGAGAGACAAUUACUCACUUUCUUAAAGACAAAGGCAAGUAGAGACAUCUUUUUCUUCACACAUUCCAUGUAGACUGUGGAGCGUGGUUUGGGGAGCCAAAUACUAGGCACCGCAAGUACCUUGAUCAUUUGGGACAUUGCCUGGCAAUCAGUAUGGGACAUAAUAUAUUGCAAAGUACAGGAGAAAAGAUACUGGUGAGUUUAAGACUACCAAGUCCGGUGAUAAAUUGACGAAGAGUUUUAGAACAAAUGGCGAAAGGCAUUUUCUUUCCUUUAGAGAAAUGGUUUUUUUUUUUUCCCUUCUAAAUUUUUUUUUAACGUUUAUUCAUUUUUGAGAGACAGAGAGAGACAGAGCAUGAGCGGGGACGGGACAGAGAGAGAGGGAGACCCAGAAUCUGAAACAGGCUCCAGGCUCUGAGCUGUCGGCACAGAGCCCGACCCGGGGCUCGAACUCAUGAACUGCGAGAUCAUGACCUGAGCCGGAGCCGGACGCUCAACGGACUGAGCCACCCAGGCGCCCCUAGAGAAAUGGUUUUUAUUGCUGUUACUUCUUAUUUACUCCGGGGGUGAUUGACACGUAAGUCAAGAGAGUAGUGCCUCUAGAUUGUAAUGACGUGGUAAAUCAGGGAGCAUAUAUAAAUGCAUAUGUAUAAUACAUGAUUAUGUAUUUAUACAUAUAGAAAUGCAUUUAUACAAAUUAUACAUGUGCUUUACAUACACACAUCUAUAUGCAGGUGAACAUAUACAUGUGUGUGUGUGUGUGUGUGUGUGUGUGUGUGUGUGUGUGUGUAGUUAAUUUACUGUUUUAUGAGCUUAAGGAAAGGACAUUCUUGGCCUGGAUCACCCCCUAGUCCCUGUGGCUGAAACUCUGUCUAGAGGGGCUUAUGGAGCUAUGGCACAGGGACCUCACUCUACCGUCUGUUGGGUGCAACGUGGUGACAAGCUAAGCCUGACACCAAGAACUUAUUUUCCAGCUUUUGCAGAUGCCCAUACAUUAAGCACAUCGUCGGGAAAUUGGAAACCAAAUACAAAACAAGGUUGGAAAUUUGAGAUAGCAUUCCUACAGGAAUAAUUAUGAAAUAUAAUUGUAUCUCAGUAACGAAUUUAAGAACCAAACGGACCAGGAACAGGUUUUGGUGUUCUUUACAGUUCCCAGGAAACUGAUAAGGAAUAGUGAGUAUGCUCGGAGUGAAAAACUAAAGAAGUCCAAGAUACCAUCGUAGACCAGUCUUGGAAUAAGACAAGGAAGGGCCAGGAAAAAAAGAAAAUUAAGGAUCAAGAAUUAUCCCUUGUCCCUUCCAACUUAUCUCCAUAUCACAACUUGGGCAUACAUCACAUUUUGAAAUCUGAAUACUUUUUCCCAUUGAACACUGCCGGAAUGAAUGAUUGAUUAGGUUCUUCCACAACUGUAAAAAUAGGUUCUUAAUGUAAAUAUAAAUGUCAAAUUCAACAGUGUAUUGGCAUUGUUUUCAUCUAGAUAUAUUGGCCUAGGACUUUAGUCUCCAGGGAAAAUGCCUUCGAGACAAGGGCCACUGGAAAUG